AGAACCAGUGCUUUAAGUGGGCCGGUGCGCUCCGGUGCUGAGCACUGGGACUUCUUUAAAUCUCACGUCGGAGCACCGGCACUUCUCACCUAGCCAGGACCAUCCGGUGCUUUGAUUAGAUCUACUUAGACUUGAAUAUGCAGAGGAAUCACGAUGCACGCGUUUGACAUCCUACACAUGAGUAAAGAUGAAGUGUAUAGAUUAUUUUAUACCGCUUAGCGCUACUCUAACAGGACAACACAAGCUCCUGAUUAUCCUUCCCCUUUGUCUCUCUUAUGGUGCAUAAAGAAGUAAACACAUCCAGAUAAAAUAAUAAAGAGAAAAACAGAGUAAAACAACCACAGACAACGACUCACGCAGACAAAAACCCACAUUUAAAAUCGAAUUUACCUAGAAAAACAAAAGUGAAGGUAUCCCACAAUUCAUUGCGCUUGGCAGAUAGCAAGCUGAAUUUGUACGUCAACGUCAGUGGGCAUCUCUGCACCAUGUUAUCACUGGACAGAGGGAGUAACAUCCCCGUAUAAAUGCAUUAGCUCCGGCGCCAAAUGAGGCCAAAUCUACCUUCAGUGACAGACCGAGUUUGUCUGAGUCGCGUUUUUAGGGCAGCUACAGUCGACAAUCAUGAGUAAGCUUAUUGGCAGUUCACAUCCCUCCUUCCACUGAAAGCAGCUCGGGAGAAGAUGUCAAAUUCUCAAGGUGGGGGCCAGGGGCACCACACGCUGUAGUUUGACGCGUCUGAUUGGUCAGUUUUUAACUUGACUAACUUACGAUAAGGACAAAAAAUAUCCUG